UACGGGGGGGGCAAGCGUUGUUCGGAAUUACUGGCGUAAAGGGCUCGUAGGCGGCCAACUAAGUCGGACGUGAAAUCCCUCGGCUUAACCGGGGAACUGCGUCCGAUACUGGAUGGCUUGAGUUCGGGAGAGGGAUGCGGAAUUCCAGGUGUAGCGGUGAAAUGCGUAGAUAUCUGGAGGAACACCGGUGGCGAAGGCGGCAUCCUGGACCGACACUGACGCUGAGGAGCGAAAGCCAGGGGAGCAAACGGG
rnacentral:rRNA from 1 species